CUUCCCUCAUUUCGCCCUUUCCGAAAUCUCUCUCCGUCUCUAUCCCUCUCUUUCUUCUUCUCACCUUUCUUCUUCUACUUCUCUCCUUUCUUCCCUUUCCGUCUGCACUCUUCUUUAUUUUCUUACCUUCUUCUAAACAAAUAAACAAGAUAUGCAAAGAAAUUUUAAUUUUCUACCGAAUGUGGAAUUUUUUUUUUCCCUUUUUUUGUUGUAAUUUUUUUCUUCUUGCAUGCCAGUGGAAUAUAUUUCAUGAACCUGUGUCGGAUUUCCACCCGAACGCAAGGCUCGAAGCGACAAGAGGAACUUCAUGAAGACAUGCAGCCUCUUCUUCCUCCGACAGAGGCCAUUUCACUUUCGCCACCAUCUGGGACUGCCGACGAGAAGCUAUCCACGACGGACCCAUCGCCAACAUCAACUUGCAUCGACGAGUCUUCAGCUCCACGUUCAACGUCACAGCUCGCUUCCAGAUCAGUGCUGCUUGUUCCAUUCUACGUGGAGCUCUCAUUUGAUGGUUUACCCCCUGUCAACUCUUGCAAAGAAAACAGAGCACCGAAAAUCACAGUAGAUAAAGUUUGGGUUUUUCUUUGCUUUAGUUUUUUUUUUUCCUACUAUUGCCCGAAAAUCACAGUAUAUUUGAUAGAUUUCAUUUCUUAAUUUGUUUGUGAACUUGGAACUUAGGGUUGGUGUUAGUGUAGGUUAAUUUUUUUUUUUAUAUGUCUUGUGUAAGAGUGGAAAUUGCAUUAAAAGCAAAUUGGGUUGCACAUAUGAGUGCCGUUGCGAGGUGUUUUAUUUUUUUGAUGCGCUGUGUAACAGAGUUGAUGAAGUAUGAGAAAAUUGCAUUAAAAGUCAAUUAUUUUUUUAUUCUAGUUUUCAAAUGUAUGAUGUAUGUAAUUUAAAUGUACGAGUAAUCAUUUUUUUGUUGUUGCUCCAGCUACAUUUAUGAACAACUAAUAUCUAUAUUUCUCAGCUACAUUUAUGAAUAAACAUGUAGUGCAGGGAUUCCUACCUAUUAAAACAGACCAUUAUAAUUCAUUUCAAAACUAUGAUUCCUUUAUACUAGUUUUUUUUUUUUAAUGGAAAAUUUACAUGGUGAUUGUCUAUUGAUUCACUAAAGUAGAAUCUAUUGAGGUUCAUAAAAUUCUACUUACCAAGGGAUGGGAGAAGUGGGGGGUGAGAUUUAUAGAAUUGCAUUGGAUAGAAAGCAGCGAUAAACAUAAUUUUCACUAUUGGAGAAGGCCGCAACCAAGAGAAAGAAGAAACAGGUACUCGGUUUUUUUUAUUAAUUGUAUAUAUGUUGGAUAGAUGUUUGUUUCAUUUCUAAUAGAUGUGUAUUUUCUGACAUUGUGGAAAUUAGACUUGUAGAAAAAUAUUUGAUGACGAACAAGUUGAAGUUGCUGAGGUCUCAGCCCCCCAAGUUGGUGCUAACGUUGAAGAUGUUGUUGUUGGAACCCAAUAUAGUAUUGUCACACAACAAACACCAUCGGGCAAUGAUGAGAAUUUGUGAAGCAUUGUUUAUGGGUUUCUUGAAGUAUUUCUAUUGAAGGUCGUGGUUGUAAAGAAUGUAUAGAUUUGUGGGUGUUCAAUGUGUAUGAAAAUCAUUAUUAUAUUUUUGAUGGGUUAUUUGAAGUAUUUUGUAAAAUGCUGGAGCCUUUUUGUUGGCGGUUGUGGUUGUAAAGAAUGUACAGAUAGUCGAAUGCAGUACUUGUAUAAAAAUCAUUAUUAUAUAAAUCAUAGAAAUCUUGAAGUA